AUUGAACGCUGGCGGCAGGCCUAACACAUGCAAGUCGAGCGGACGAACGGAGCUUGUUCCUGUAUUCAGCGGCGGACGGGUGAGUAAUGCCUAGGAAUCUGCCUGAUCGUGGGGAAUAACAUCCCUUCACGGGCCCUAAUACCGCAUACGAUCUGAGUUAGAACGGCGGGGAUCUUCGGACAUCACGCUUUCAGAUGAGCCUAGGUCGGAUUAGCUAGUUGGUGUGGUAAAGGCCUACCAAGGCGACGAUCCGUAACUGGUCUGAGAGGCUGAUCAGACACACUGGAACUGAGACACGGUCCAGACUCCUACGGGAGGCAGCAGUAGGGAAUAUUGGACAAUGGGCGAAAGCCUGAUCCAGCCAUGCCGCGUGUGUGAAGAAGGUCUUCGGAUUGUAAAGCACUUUAAGUUGGGAGGAACGGCAGUAUGUUUAUAUCUUGCCGUUUUGACGGUACCAACACAAAAAGCACCGGCUAACUUCGUG
rnacentral:rRNA from 1 species